GAUGAACGCUGGCGGCGUGCCUAAUACAUGCAAGUCGAGCGAACGGACGAGAAGCUUGCUUCUCUGAUGUUAGCGGCGGACGGGUGAGUAACACGUGGAUAACCUACCUAUAAGACUGGGAUAACUUCGGGAAACCGGAGCUAAUACCGGAUGAUAUUUUGAACCGCAUGGGUCAAAAGUGAAAGACGGUCUUGCUGUCACUUAUAGAUGGAUCCGCGCUGCAUUAGCUAGUUGGUAAGGUAACGGCUUACCAAGGCAACGAUGCAUAGCCGACCUGAGAGGGUGAUCGGCCACACUGGAACUUAGCCACGGUCCAGACUCCUACGGGAGGCAGCAGUAGGGAAUCUUCCGCAAUGGGCGAAAGCCUGACGGAGCAACGCCGCGUGAGUGAUGAAGGUCUUCGGAUCGUAAAACUCUGUUAUUAGGGAAGAACAUAUGUGUAAGUAACUGUGCACAUCUUGACGGUACCUAAUCAGAAAGCCACGGCUAACUACGUG
rnacentral:rRNA from 1 species